UGGAAGGCACCUUACUUGGCUUAUUAUCUGGGAUACCCUUGAGUAUAGAUGAGUCCAGGGAAUAUUAGGUUACUGAUCAGCUGACUUUGAGUUAAUCAAAGGGGAUUAUCCUGGAUGGGAAUGACCUGAUCUGAUGAAGAUUAGAAGAUGUGGUGGCCCAGAAGAAAGCAAAUUUGACUAUAUUGUGACCCGAAUAUAAGACCUAAGUAGCAGAUGGUGCUGAAAGAAGAUCAUCUCUGUGGGGCCAUUACAGGAUAAUGCACAGGAAUAAAUAAGCACAACGAUAGGUCUCAGCAAAGACAGCCGAGUCUCAAGUUGGUCCCACAUUUGGAAAUGGUGCAUGUACAAUGAGCAGGUUUAUCGUGUGCCCUCAUUUAACAUUCAUUCACCUCUGCUAUGGACAAGGCAUAUGGAACACAGAGAUGAUCGGGGCAUGACCCAUAUGCCCAGAUUGCUUAUAAAUCCAGCUCAGGAGAGAAGAAAAGUAUCCAAAUAACUGGAACAGGAGGCAGUGCUUCAUAAGCAUACCAGGAGAGAUGAGAAAUUUAAGCUUAGAAAAGUUUUCUUCCCCUCUCCACGACAGAAGAGCAAAGAAGGAGGAGAGCAGACUAGAGCUCUAAGAAGU